GGGCGAUUAGUUUAAUGGUAAAACAGGCAACUCAUAAUUGCUUGAAUACAGGUUCAAUUCCUGUAUCGCCCACCA
rnacentral:tRNA from 1 species